ACAAUGGCAGGUACAGCGGGAAGCCAGGCGGCGACGCCGAGCGGAACCCGAAAACCUGUCUCAGUUCGGAUCGGAGUCUGCAACCCGACUCCGUGAAGCUGGAUUCGCUAGUAAUCGCGCAUCAGCCAUGGCGCGGUGAAUACGUUCCCGGGCCUUGUACGCACCGCCCGUCAAGCCAUGGAAGCCGGGGGUGCCUGAAGUGUGCAGCCGCAAGGAGCGCCCUAAGGUAAAACCGGUGACUGGGGCUAAGUCGUAACAAGGUAAC
rnacentral:rRNA from 1 species